rnacentral:rRNA from 1 species
UACGUAGGGUGCAAGCGUUGUCCGGAAUUAUUGGGCGUAAAGAGCUCGUAGGCGGUCUGUCGCGUCUGCUGUGAAAACUCAGGGCUUAACCCUGAGCUUGCGGUGGGUACGGGCAGACUGGAGUUCGGUAGGGGAGACUGGAAUUCCUGGUGUAGCGGUGAAAUGCGCAGAUAUCAGGAGGAACACCGGUGGCGAAGGCGGGUCUCUGGGCCGAUACUGACGCUGAGGAGCGAAAGCGUGGGGAGCGAACAGG